ACCCCAUUCUCUAGAAAACACCCCGUGUCUCCUUUUCUCCAUUUGGACCCCGUUCUCCAUUCUCCCGUGCCAAUUUCGUUAGCAACGCCGGAAAUAACACCAAACACCACUCUGAUGGCAACAUAUCAGGGGGUACACCUUCACAACAGGAAGGUAAUCAUGCGCAUUUCUUCCCUCGAAGACACCCAUAACGACUUCUCUUGGCCUCGCCAAAGUCUAAGGUGACACAUGAUCAGAAGACAAUCUUG
rnacentral:lncRNA from 1 species